GCUGGACAUUAAAAACCCACUCAUCAGGGCCUCCAGAAGUCCAGGAUUUCCACUCUGACUUUGCCACUUUAUUUCAAUAAUCACUGAGUAUAAAUUUCUGUAAUAAUAUAUGUAAUGAAAUAGUUUCAGCUGCUCAUACCAGAACACCCAACUAAAAGUGGCUUUCAUAACGAGGACAUUUCAGAUCUAAUUUGCCAAAGUGUUCUCAGGUAGGAGGUUCCAAGGUUGGGGCAGCAACUCAACGAUGUCAUAAAGGCCCCUGACUCUUCCAUCCUCCCACUCUGAUAUCUUCCACGUGUUGACUUUUCUAGUUAGUUCCACCCUCAUGGUCACAAGACAGCUGCCACAGCUCCAAGCAUCGCCUCUCUCCGUAUCAAUGUCCAGCUUCUCUUUCCAUUUCCCUGUCUGUAUGAGAGGGAAAGCUCUUUCCCAGAAGCCUCUCACACACUCCCAUUCUAGUCGUGUGGCCUAAGAUUGGGUCACAUGCUCAUGCCCAGCUGGCAAGCAAGGCUGGGAAGAUGAGUACUUUACAUUUUCGGUCUCUGUAGUGGGAGAAAAGAGCUGGGAAUGACUGUUAGGUAGGCUACCAAACAACCACUGCAGCAGUUCCUGAGAAUUAUUAUUAUACUCUGGAGCAUGAGGACUUGGCAUGGGGCUUUGUUUUAUUUGGAACAAAAAUUCCUAUGGUAUUUCGUAUAUCCAGAGAGAAAGCCAGCCUGACCUCAUAGCUGCAUACACAGAUAGGUGAAAAUGCAGAAAAAGGAAUCACUGCCACUGUCAUAAGGAGAAAGUAUCUGGAUGUGUUGAGGCAACAACUGUGUUUUUGAGGAUGACAUAAUAUCCUUAUCUUUGUGGCCUUUGCUCCAGAACCCUCCCGCAUCUUGCCAAAGUUAUAUUAAUUCUCUGACUGUGGGUGUGUAUGGAGGUGUCUAUGGUGUACGUGCCCAUGCAUGUGGAGAAAUGUUCACCAAAAUGUCACCAGGGGCUACCUCUGAGAUUUCAGGCUAAGCUGUCUCCUGAGUCCAGAGAAUGUCCUUGGGCAGAGUCGCUGGUGCCGGCAGCCAGAAGUUGGGCUGAACUGGAUCAUUCAGCUACUCCUAGAACAAAGGAGGGGGAAUCUGGAAUAGGAUUGCCAUGAUUGGCCAAAACAAAUCACCAUACAUUGCCUCACUCAGCGUACUGCACUGCCCCCAGAUAAGGUCUGGGUUCUGUUGGCAAGAAAGAAUGUGGGAGGUGUACUUUCCCAUACCUCUUUUGGUUUUCCUGGGACCACUGACCAGGUAAACUGCUUGCAUUAGAAUCCUAAUCUCAGAGUCUGCUUCUGAGGAAAACAAACUAAGACAACUAGG